rnacentral:rRNA from 1 species
AGGAGAGCGGCGAAACCCAGCCCCAAAAUCGCUCGAGCCUCUCCGGCCGGCCUCCGCUGCUGCUGCGGCUGGCGGCAGCCCCUUCUUCUUCCUCUGCGGGGGGUUGGCGAGCAUAUACAGAAGAACGGGGAAGCGGCUAGACCACCAUCAGCGCGAAGAGGAGCGGCAGCAGCGGCAGCAGGAGGAGGCGCGGGAGCGGACGCGGGGGGCUAGAUACGUGGUCCCCGAGGUGCCGACCUUGUUCAGGAGCAGCUACGAGUCCCUGCCCAAGCCCAGACGACGCAGUUGUUGUGGCUGCAGCAGAAGAUGAUGUGGCUGCCGUAGAAGCAGCAGGAGGUGGAGACGACGAGGCAAGCGCGUGGGCAGCGGCAGGAGACAGGAACUUCGGUGCUUCGGUCGUCUACUCAGGGACAGCGGACUCGGCUGAGGUCAAGGCCAGUACCACAGGUGGUGCCGACUCUGGCGCGUCGACGGACUGCUGGGUCUCAAGAUGGUCCUGGAGGACGCGCCAGAAGUCGACGGCCUGUAGCUGGGCUACCUGAAGGCGCGGCCCGAACUACGGGACCUGCAGAGGCUCCGCAGCCGAAUGAACCUGCCGCUUGUCCUGGACGACGAGCCACUGAAGCGGCUGCUCCUCGAGCUGGACCUGUACCUGGAGCUGUAGCCGCUGCUGAAGGACCUCUACGGGCCGACGCUGAAGCCGGCUCCGUACCUACUAAAGGACGUAUGGCAGCUAAAGACGCACACU